GACGAACGCUGGCGGCGGGCUUAACACAUGCAAGUCGAACGGCAAGGCCCUGCUUUUGUGGGGUGCCCGAGUGGCGAACGGGUGAGUAACACGUGAGUAACCUGCCCUUGACUUUGGGAUAACUUCAGGAAACUGGGGCUAAUACCGGAUAGGAGCUCCUGCUGCAUGGUGGGGGUUGGAAAGUUUCGGCGGUUGGGGAUGGACUCGCGGCUUAUCAGCUUGUUGGUGGGGGAGUGGCUUACCAAGGCUUUGACGGGUAGCCGGCCUGAGAGGGUGACCGGCGACAUUGGGACUGAGAGACGGAGCAGAGUCCUACGGGAGGCAGCAGUGGGGAAUAUUGCACAAUGGGACGAAGCCGGAUGCAGCAACGCCGCGUGCGGGAUGACGGCCUGUGGGUUGUAAACCGCUUUCGCCUGUGACGAAGCGGGAGUGACGGUAAUGGGUAAAGAAGCACCGGCUAACUACGUG
rnacentral:rRNA from 1 species